rnacentral:lncRNA from 1 species
UAACAAAUUAUUGUGAUACAUGAAAUUCCCAAUAGGUUCUUCUCCUUAAACAGGAUCAAAGCAGUAGAUUCAGAUGAACUCAGAGCCUGGAGAGAAGCCAUGCUCUCUUAUCAGCUGGCUAGGACUUGUUCAGUCCAGAUGGAGCCUGCAGUACACCAGCGUGCACUGAAUUGGCAGAUACUCGACUACUCUUAUGGAACCACUGUUCUGGAAAUAAGCUGGGGCUGUUGCCCUAAGGGGCAGUCCAUUUUUAUAGGUAAGAAAAUCAAGGAGCAGGGAAAGGAAGCUCAUUUACCUCAGGCAUCAAAUGGUGAGUCCAAAGUGCUGAUUCAGAAGGCGGUAGGGUGA